rnacentral:rRNA from 1 species
UACGAAGGGGGCUAGCGUUGCUCGGAAUCACUGGGCGUAAAGCGCACGUAGGCGGAUUGUUAAGUCGGGGGUGAAAUCCUGGAGCUCAACUCCAGAACUGCCUUCGAUACUGGCGAUCUCGAGUUCGGGAGAGGUGAGUGGAACUGCGAGUGUAGAGGUGAAAUUCGUAGAUAUUCGCAAGAACACCAGUGGCGAAGGCGGCUCACUGGCCCGACUACUGACGCUGAGGUGCGAAAGCGUGGGGAGCAAACAGG